GGGCACCUACGGGGGCCUAAACACUUGGCACCUUAGUAGUCGGUUUUCAUUGAGAAACCAGCGAGCGGGGGCCUUACACAUAGCGGGCCUUGGGACACAAACCUUAGGCUCUGCACGCUAAACGGAAGACAGAAA
rfam:Shimia sp. SK013 shim_contig000016, whole genome shotgun sequence.